AUACGAAAGGUGCAAGCGUUGUUCGGAUUUACUGGGCGUAAAGAGAGUGUAGGUGGUUUAUUAAGUCGGAUGUGAAAUCCCGGGGCUCAACCUCGGAACUGCAUUCGAUACUGAUAGGCUAGAGUUUGGGAGGGGUAAGCGGAAUUCCGUGUGUAGCAGUGAAAUGCGUAGAUAUACGGAGGAACACCUGAGGCGAAGGCGGCUCACUGGCUCGAUACUGACGCUGAGGUGCGAAAGCGUGGGGAGCAAACAGGAUUAGAAACCCCUGUAGUCC
rnacentral:rRNA from 1 species